rnacentral:rRNA from 1 species
GUCUACAGCCAUACCACCCUGAACGUGCCCAAUCUCAUCUGAUCUCAGGAGCUAAGCAGGGUCAGGACUGGUUAGUCCUUGGAAGGAAGAAUAGUUGUAAGGGGCU